rfam:Triticum urartu cultivar G1812 contig1110266, whole genome shotgun sequence.
CUGCUACUCCCUCCGUUCCGAAUUACUUGUCUUAGAUUUGUCUAGAUACGGAGGUAUCUAGCGCUAAAAUGAGUCUAGAUACAUCCGUAUCUAGACAAAUCCAAGACAAGUAAUUCGGAACGGAGGGAGUACAUG